rnacentral:rRNA from 1 species
ACAAGCGGUGGAGUAUGUGGUUUAAUUCGAUGCAACGCGAAGAACCUUACCUGGUCUUGACAUCCCGGAGACCCUUAGGAAACUAGGGGGUGCUUCCAUCUGGAAGAAUCUGGAGACAGGUGCUGCAUGGCUGUCGUCAGCUCGUGUCGUGAGAUGUUGGGUUAAGUCCCGCAACGAGCGCAACCCUUGCCUUUAGUUGCCAGCAGUUCGGCUGGGCACUCUAAAGGGACUGCCGGUGUUAAACCGGAGGAAGGUGGGGAUGACGUCAAGUCCUCAUGGCCUUUAUGACCAGGGCUACACACGUACUACAAUGGCCGAUACAAAGGGCAGCGACACUGCGAGGUGAAGCCAAUCCCGUAAAAUCGGUACUCAGUCCGGAUUGGAGUCUGCAACUCGACUCCAUGAAGUUGGAAUCGCUAGUAAUCGUGGAUCAGCAUGCCACGGUGAAUACGUUCCCGGGCCUU